UACGAAGGGGGCUAGCGUUGUUCGGAAUUACUGGGCGUAAAGCGCGUGUAGGCGGGUCUUUAAGUCAGGGGGGAAAUGCCAAGGCUCAACCUUGGAACUGCCUUUGAUACUGAAGAUCUUGAGUCCGGGAGAGGUGAGUGGAACUGCGAGUGUAGAGGUGAAAUUCGUAGAUAUUCGCAAGAACACCAGUGGCGAAGGCGGCUCACUGGCCCGGUACUGACGCUGAGGCACGAAAGCGUGGGGAGCAAACAGG
rnacentral:rRNA from 1 species